rnacentral:rRNA from 1 species
GAUGAACGCUGGCGGCGUGCCUAAUACAUGCAAGUCGAGCGAACGGACGAGAAGCUUGCCUCUCUGAUGUUAGCGGCGGACGGGUGAGUAACACGUGGAUAACCUACCUAUAAGACUGGGAUAACUUCGGGAAACCGUAGCUAAUACCGGAUAAUAUUUUGAACCGCAUGGUUCAAAAGUGAAAGACGGUCUUGCUGUCACUUAUAGAUGGAUCCGCGCUGCAUUAGCUAGUUGGUAAGGUAACGGCUUACCAAGGCAACGAUGCAUAGCCGACCUGAGAGGGUGAUCGGCCACACUGGAACUGAGACACGGUCCAGACUCCUACGGGAGGCAGCAGUAGGGAAUCUUCCGCAAUGGGCGAAAGCCUGACGGAGCAACGCCGCGUGAGUGAUGAAGGUCUUCGGAUCGUAAAACUCUGUUAUUAGGGAAGAACAUAUGUGUAAGUAACUGUGCACAUCUGGACGGUACCUAAUCAGAAAGCCACGGCUAACUACGU